GAUGAACGCUGGCGGCGUGCUUAACACAUGCAAGUCGAACGGAAAGGCCCAAGCUUGCUUGGGUACUCGAGUGGCGAACGGGUGAGUAACACGUGGGUGAUCUGCCCUGCACUUCGGGAUAAGCCUGGGAAACUGGGUCUAAUACCGGAUAGGACGAUGGUUUGGAUGCCAUUGUGGAAAGUUUUUUCGGUGUGGGAUGAGCUCGCGGCCUAUCAGCUUGUUGGUGGGGUAAUGGCCUACCAAGGCGUCGACGUGUAGCCGGCCUGAGAGGGUGUACGGCCACACUGGGACUGAGAUACGGCCCAGACUCGUACGGGAGGCAGCAGGGGGGAAUAUUGCACAAUGGGCGCAAGCCUGAUGCAGCGACGCCGCGUGGGGGAUGACGGCCGUCGGGUUGUAAGCUCCUUUCGCUAGGGACGAAGCGUUUUUGUGACGGUACCUGGAGAAGAAGCACCGGCUAACUACGUG
rnacentral:rRNA from 1 species